ensembl:lncRNA
GUGAGUCGGGGCUCAGAGGUGGCCCUCUUGACGUGGAGGGGACACAGGGAGGGAGAGAAACUUCAGCAGCUGGAAGGGCCAGAUGUGCUUUGCGGUUUGAGUGCAGAGUGUCCCCCAGACUUGGGGCCCAUCCUGGGGCUCUGCUGGGUGCAGAGGAAGGGCGGGGGCGGCCUCCCAUCCUGGCCUCAAGUUCCUUUCUUUCUCCUACAUCUCUGAGCCCGGUCACCAGCGCUGCAGAUACCUCAUGACUGUGCAGUCGGAGGGCUUCCUUGGGUUGGCAGCCAGGCCUCAGGGGACAGGGCAGUCUGGAACAUCUCAUACCAACUGGACAGCCUUUAGCCAGCUGCUGUGCCUCUCUGGCCUGUUUGCCCACAUGUAUGUAAAGUGGGGAUAACAGCAGGUCUGCAGGUUUCCUGCGCUAGGUUAAAUGUGUAUGGAAGACAUAGUACUGUGCCUGGUGCCUAAUAAGUGUUCAAUCCAUCAGAGCCCUGUGAUUGGUAGGCCAUGGCUCAUGCCCAUCCUGUUCUUGUUAGAGGCCUUGGUCCUCUGGGCCUCAGUUUCCAUCUGUAAAAUGUCAUCUUGGCCCUAACCCUGCUGGCACGCAGGGCUGUUUUAAAGCUCUCUCUAGUGGCUGCAGAGGCAGGGCCCCCACACCGGCCGGCCUCACUUCUGGUAGCCCCUGGGCUGGGAACGGCAGCUUCCUGCCGACCCACUGGGGCUGGUUCCAGGUGACAUGAGUUCCCACCCCACCCCUGCAGAAGGAAGGCAGGAGAUUGGCACCAGGGGACUGCAAUCAAUUACGCCAAUUAAUUCUCUGUGUGUUGGUGCCUGGCACAGGCAGGCGUGGAGACAGCCCUGGGAUCAGACCUCGUUUUCCACACCGGAAGCAGAUGCAGUUGGCAGAAGGGAGGGAGAGCCCUGAGGCCUCUGAAACACUCAGAAAGCAAAGAAGAUGAUGGACAAGAAAUCGCCUGACCAGGAGCUGGGACCCUCCCUACCCGGGGGCUCCACCCUCUGGCUGCACUGGGGUCUCAGAGUGAGCCCUGCCCCCGCCCAUGGGUCCAGCUCUGCCCGUCUCUAGAGGAUUCGGUACACAGACCACCCUGCAGCCUCACUUCUCUAAGUGACCCGAUUCCCAAGUCAUCCUGCUGCCUUAUUUCUUGCGGACACAGUACACAGACCACCCUACCGCCUUGUUCCUCCAAGCCACACAGAAACCCUAGCUGCCUUUUUUCUCUCCAAAGGACCUGGCCUUCAACUCACCCCCUGCCUUAUUUCUCCAAGACACACUACACUGUCACCUCUUGCCUUGUCUUGCCGGUGGCCCUGAUGCACUAGUUCCCUUUUCUCAGGCUUCUCCUGACCUUCAUAGGAUCCAACUCCUCAGCAGCCUUGAGUCUGGAGGCUGCCUCUUCCAUUCCUCCUCCUCCUGCCCUGUGCCUGGCCUUCCUGCUGCUCACAGGGACACCGGCACCCUUCCUGCCAGCUGCAUGUUCUGGGCCAUGUAUGACUCUCCUGCCAUCUCCUCCAUGCCACCCGGCUGCCCCCACAGGAAGCAGGUGCCGGUCACACUGGUUCUCUGGGGUCUUCAGGGGCCAUCUUAGGGGGCAGCUUUUUACCCUACACCUUACCCAGUGCCUAGGGUAGGGGAGAAGCCUGGGGAGAGGGACACAGCCCUGGCCACACUGGAGAAUCAGGAGGUUUCCAGGAGUCUUUCCAGUGUGAGCUGCUGGGCAGCUGGCCAGGACCCUCCAAACCUACCUUUGCGGGCUGGCAGGGCUUUGGGGACAGAGGAGACUGUCUCCCACCAUGGUGCUACUGGGGCCUGGGCGGAUACCUCCUGGCUUGUCCGUGGCCAGCCCCGCCUUGGAGUCCUGUGUCGGGAUGGCCUCUUUGGCGCCCCAGGAGGAAGAAGAUGAAGAUGUCUAAUUUAAAUGUGGGACUUUGUAUGUUGAGG